GUGUGUGGCAGCUGUCUAUUAGUAGUGAAGAUAAAACCAUAGAUAAAAUCAUUUAGUGGGUGCAUGUGCUGGUGGGAUUCUCUGUAAUUCUUCUACAUGGACAAGGUGAUUGAACACUGGUGGGGAUAACGUCUUUGAGAAGUGUUUUUCAUGAUCAGGCGGACGAGACUUGUGUGAGCAGACGUGUUGUGACAGGAGCCGGUGGUCUGAGAUGGAUUGUAUUCACAGAUCCCCUCCUUCCUCAUGAUGAUGAUCACGCUGUGGCUUGGCUCUUGCACUGGGGGCAGGUGCUGUUUUGGAGCUGCUGCCCUAAGGGGGUUUGUUGUGAAUGAGCCUCGCCCUGUUUCUUUAAUCAAGUAAGUGUGGCACAUAAAAAAACACUAAAUAUAUAAAACCAUGCGACCAUGGGGGAGUGUAACAAGUAUUUUAUUUUAC